rnacentral:rRNA from 1 species
GAAAAGACAUCAACCGAGAUUCCGUUAGUAGUGGCGAGCGAACGCGGACCAGCCGAGCCUUGAGAGAUAGCAGAACCAGCUGGGAAGCUGGGCGACAUGGGUGACAGCCCCGUAUGCGACAUCUCGAUGGGACACAUCAAGUAGGGCGGGACACGUGCAAUCCUGUCUGAAGAUCGGGGGACCACCCUCGAAGGCUAAGUACUCCUUGCUGACCGAUAGCGAACAAGUACCGUGAGGGAAAGGUGAAAAGCACCCCGACGAGGGGAGUGAAAUAGCACCUGAAACCGAAUGCUUACAAACAGUGGGAGCUCAAGGUUCGUCCUGAGUGACCGCGUACCUUUUGUAUAAUGGGUCAACGACUUGGUCUCACGAGCAAGCUUAAGCCGUUAGGUGUAGGCGCAGCGAAAGCGAGUCUGAACAGGGCGUUCAGUUCGUCGGAUUAGACCCGAAACCGGGUGAUCUAGUCAUGCCCAGGGUGAAGGUGCCGUAACAGGUACUG